UAUAAGGAAAAAUUAGUUGUAGCAGUAGAUAUGAUACAUAAUAGAAAUAAUAAUUUAAAUACUUUUUAAGAAUUUUAUGUUUAUUAUAUGUUAUUCUUAUCACAUAUGCAUCAAAAGAAACCAUAAAAUUAAAUAUGAAUAUAGGUAUAGGAAGUGCAAAUAAAAAUAUUUCAAUAGCGUUUAAAAUAAGGGGGGGGGGGGUUGUAUUUCUUUUGUUAGAGACAGGGUUUUUAUUUUGAAUAAUAGAAGGAUAAUAUGAAUAUAAAUCUAAAUAAAGAAAUAUACCAUCAAUAUAGACACAUAUUUAUAAAACCGCAAAAUAUAAAUAAAUAUAAACAAAAGGAGUAGAUGUAGUAUAUUAUAUAAAUUACCUAACACAUCAAUGUCCGGUAUAAAUAUCCAUGUGAAUGUAAAUAUGAAAUAUUUAAAUGUAAAAUAUAUUUAAAUAUGGUUUUAAAGAAAGGGGGCUUGUUUCGUUCUUGUUGGCUAAGAGGCAGGUUUUUGGCGUUUAUUUCAGAGGAUUUUUUAGGGGAUCGCAGCUGGAUUUGUGCCCGCCUUCCCCGCCCGCAGCAGAGCGCGGCGCUGCCCCGCGGACAGGCAGCGGCCGGGACGCGUCUCUGCCGAGGCGCACGCGCGGUCGCGCCCUGGGGGGCGGCUCGGCCGGGACGCGCUUGACCUUCCCAAGAUGGCGGCAAAAAAGGGGCGGGAAAAAGGAGCACCACGGUCCGUAUGCUAGACUGCCCGCACGCCGCCCCGACACCGCCCCGGCGGGAUUUUCCGUGAGGUAUGCAGGGCCGAGCACACGGGCCGUGGGCUUUCAAUCACCUCUCAAGCAGACGAAUACUCCGCUUGGAAGCUGCUGUGCCCUGUGAGCCUGAGAGCCUGGCAGGUGACCCCGUCGGAGAGAGGAGGGCAGCUGUGAGCAGGCAGCCCCCAGGAAAACACGGGAGUUUCAGUGGUUUCUGGAGUCUGAGGAACGGGGAGAAGCCCUGAGCUAAGCAGGAGUUAAGCACAGUCAUGCAGAGGCCUGGUUGCUACGAUUGAAGGUCGCUUAGUGAAUAUCGAUAGUUUCUAUAGGUAUUUUUAUAUCUAUAGAAAGGUAAAAAGUAAAAGUAGAAUAUAGAGCAUUGUGCAGGAGAAGAAGAACUCUUUACGUAAGAUGUGACCUGUGGGGCAUCGUGCCAGGCUGUCCCUUCCAGGUUUGGAAGGAUUCAGUGUUUUGUAUGGCAUGACGGAGAGUUUUGAAAAAUGAGAUUUCCUCUUCAGUGCAGGUCGGAUGGGUGAGGCCUGGCAGCUUGUGCAUUGCCACUGUGCUAACCUGUGUGCCUCUCCUUCCCUCCCUGCUCCACAGGCACAACCCGGGAGCAGCAGGGAGAGGUGGGUUUGUCGUGGAGGAUCCAGGAGCUCGGUGUGCGUGUCUGAGCCUGCAGUUCCAAGGUGCAGCAGGACCCAAGGUCUGCACACACCCAUGUACAGCACUUGUAAACAGCGUUAACGUGAAGAUAACGCGUGCGGGGAGUGUGCCGUGGGUUACCACAAGCGAUGAAGGAUUUUGGGACGGUGCCAAGGCAGUUUCCCCCUCAGCGCACUGGUUUUUUUUCCGGAAGAAUUACGCGAGAGCGGAAAAGUUGCAAUGGCAUCGCAGUUCCCUGCUCAGAAAAUGCCCAGGGAGUAAAGCACGGCCAAGUGGUGCCAUUCAACUGCGCCACAGCUGGGAGCAUCAGGGCCUGGGCAGAGAGAGGUGGAGCUCGGAGUCCCCCCGAUCCUUCCGCGGGCGUUGGCGUCUGCAGCGCCAUCGGGACGGGAUCCACGUCCCGGCUCCUUCCUCCAGAGGCCGAAAGCUCAGCCGACAGUUUCAUGCAGGAUAGUCACCUUUCCAAGGCAAUAGAAGCACUUGCCAAGAGCGGCUGGUGAAGAUGGCUCAGAAGCAAUGACAGGAGUGCAGUGAAAAGCCUGGUCCAUCGAUCCGGCUUCCGGACACGCAGAGCGCUGCCGCCCAAGAAGGGAUUUUUGUGGGUCAGCCAGAUGUGCUCCUGCCUCCCACUGAGGCUCUGAGCUGGAGCUGAGUUUGCGUUCCAGUUCAUUGGAACAGAGGGCAUCAGAAGUUUCCUCAGCUAUCUGAGGCACAGAGCCAUGGAACCAAGUAAGCCUGAGCUCCUGCGUGCUUGCUGUGAGCCUUGAGGACAGCGUGAAGACUGAAAGUGUAAGAAGAUGUGGGGUGCAGUGGAGAAUGUGGCAGGAGCAUCCAACACACGAGUGCACGAGUUUUGCUUUUUGCUUGGAUUGAAACUCAAAAGUUGUAAGGAAUUUGGGAAUGAGAUGGGACAUUUGAGAAGAAGAGGAAGGAGGAGAAGAAGUUGUUGUUACAGUCCUGACAAAAUCUUUUGUUCUAGCUAAUAAAAGAAGUUAGUUAAAAAAAAAAAGCAAAAAAUGUUUGUUUUUUUUUUUUUCCUGAAUAUUAUAUUCGUUGCUGGUGUAUGGUGUGUUGUUUUAUUUCUUGUUAUUAUUAACUGUCUGUCAUUGUUUUUUUGGGUGAGGCUAACUCUAUGGAUGGGUUGUUUGUAUUUGAGGUAGGAUUAAUUUCAGUAGGUUUCUUUAAUAGACAUCUGGUACAUAUUGUUGGGAUUUUGGUUUUGUUUAUUGGAUGUACAAACAAAGAGAUUUGGUAGGGCUAGCUCGGCUGCUGGAGUUUUGGGUGUUAAUUUAUUAGAUGGCUUUUGUUGAAUGCAGUUUUUAAUGUUUGAAAGUUUUUUAAAAAGGUAGUGGUUUUAAGGUGGUUUUUAAGAAUUGAUUGUAUUGUUUCAUGCUGUUUGUAGUUGGUGUACGAUAAGGGAUAUGGUGUACUUCUUGAGUUGUUAUGGUUUUCGUGUUCCUAAGUUCCGAUUCAUUUCUGCUAUGAUGGGUUUUUUAGUUUUAUCUUUGGGGACAGGGGCAUUUUUCUGCUGGGUUCUUAUAGGCAACAUUUUUUUAAAUUUGAGUAGUGGUAUUUUUUAAUAUUUUAAUAGUUCUGAUUUUUUACUAUUAUGCUUUUAAGUAGUUUUUUUCAUUUUUAAGAUAAUUUUGAUAGAUUAUUUGUUAUUAUUUGCGAGUUAGCAUAAAGGUGGAGCUUUGGGUGCUUUUUGUAGUAAUGUUUAGGGUCAGUGGCACAGUUUUGAGUUGAGUGACUGGGUUUGAUUUAUUUUUUACGGGUUUUUGUUUUUAUUAGCAGUUAGGUCGUUUUCAAUGUGUGUUUGAGUUUUUUGGGUUUCUGAGAUACUGGUUUGGGAGGAAGUUUAGGAUUAGAAUGGAUGGAGGUUUUGGGCUAGUUAUAUAGAGGGGUUUUUAAAUUUAUUUCUAGUUGGGUUUCUGUGAGUUUUUAAUAGGGUGAAAUGCAGUGGGAUCUUUGUUCUUUGUUAGUAGCAGAAAUGGGUUUAGUUUGGAUCUGCUGCGACGGGACGAGCGUGCUCCGCGUGCCGGCGCUGCCCGAGGCUCAGGAUUGUUGUGGGUCGGAUGUGUCAGGUGAGUGAGUUUGCAUGGUUUAAUAGACAGGUAAAAAUAAAUAUAAAUUUUAAAAGAGAUAGAAAAUUAUAAUGGUAAGCAUAAAUAUGGAAAACAGAUAAAUACAUAAAACUAACAUAAUGUAUGUUAUUGUAAUGCAUUACAAUAUAUAAGUAUAGUCUAAUAUGUAUACACAAAAUUUGUAAACAUAAAUAUAUUAAAUAUUAUUUUGAAUAAAUUGGGAAUUUUUUUGUUUUUAUUAGGUAAUAGGCUGGGGGUUUUUAUAAACAAUAUAAAUAUUAAUAAUAUAAAAAUAUACAUGCAACUAUACAAAUAUAUAAUAUAUACCAAUACCUAUAAAUAUUCAAUAUAAAUAGGUAAUAUAAAUAUGUAAUAUAAAAUGUAUCCAUUAUGAUAUAAAAAGGUAUUCUCUAUAACAUAUAUAAUAUCUAUAAAUAGAAUAAAUAAAAAUUUAAAACAUACAUAUGAACAUAGUUAAGCAUAACAAAAUUAUUUUUAAAUCUUUUAAUAUGGUGUAACUAAAGAGGUGUCUUUCGUUUUUAUUUGGUUAGAGGCAAGGGUUUUAUUUUAAAUAAUAUAAGUAUUUUAGAAAUGUAUAUCUAAAUAUUGAAGUAAAAAAUAAAUGUAUAAAGAUAUACAUCUAUGACUAAACUAUAAAUUUAAGUCUAAAUAUAAAUAUAUGCAAGUAAUAUGAAGAGGUGUAAUAUAGAAAAUAAAAUUAUACAGCAGUAUAAAUUAAAAAUAUAAAUAUUAAAAAUAUAGAUAUAAAAUAUGUAAAUAUAGUUGAAAAGAAAGUGAUUUUUUUUCUUUUUACUUGGUUAGAGGCAGGGGUUUUAUUUUAAAUAAUAUGAAUAUAGAUAUUGGUAUAUAUUUCAAAAUAUAGAAAUAUAUAAUAAAUAUAUAAAUAUAUAUAUAGAAAUAUAAAAUAUAAAUCAAUAUAAAUAAUAGGAAGAGAGGUAAUAUAGAACACAAAUAACACUAUACAUUAAUAUACAUUUAAAAUGUAAAUGUGAGUGUAAAUAUGAAGACCAUAAUUUUAAAAAAUUUGAAUACUGUUUAAAAGAAAGGGGUACCUGUCGACUUGCAUUUGGGUCGAGGCAGGGUUUUCUUUUUUCAAUAAUAGAAGUGUUACAGAAGUAAAAAUCUUAACCAGAAAUAUAUAAUCAAUAAAUAAAAAUAUAGAAAUAAAUAUAAGUAAUAGCAAUGGAUGUAAAAUAGAAUAUAAAUUUAUAUACAAGUAGAAAACUAUCAAUAUAAAUGUAAAAAUAAACAUUAUACAUCAAUAUGCAUUGUAAGAAUAAAUGAAUAUAAAUCUAAAAAAAAUUUAAAUAUUUAUAACAAAGGGUUGGGUUGGGUUUUUUGUUUGUUUGUUUGUUUUGUUUUUAUUGGGUUAGAGGCAGGGUUUUUAUUUUAAAGAAUACGAAUAUAGAUAUAAUUGGUAUAUAUUUAAAAUAUAGAAAUAUAUAAUCAAUAUAUAGAUAUAAAUAUACAUAUAUAGAAAUACAAAACAUAAAUAAACAUAAAUAAGGGGAAGAUAUGUAAUAUGUAAAAGAAAGGGGUUCUUUUUGGCUUUUAUUUGGGUAGUGGCAGGUGUAGCAUUUUAAAUAAUAUAAGUCUUACAGAAGUAAAAAUCUUAACUAGAAAUAUAUAAUCAAUAUAUAAAAAUACGUAUAAAAAUAUAGAAAUAAAUGUAAUAGGAAUAGAUGCAAUAUAGAACAUAAAUUUAUAUCUGAAUAGAAAUUUGUAAGUAUAAUAUUAUAAAUCAACAUUAUACAUUAAAAUACGUGAUAAAGAUAAAUGUGAAUAUAAAAAUGAAAGAUAUAAAAAGAAAAUAAAUACUGUUUUAAAGGAA